rnacentral:tRNA from 1 species
GUUCCCGUAGUUGAAUUUUUUACAACGGCGGUUUUUCAAGCCGUAGGUCUUGGUUAGGGUCCAAGCGGGAAUU